CGGGUGCACUGAUCCAGCCGGGCCUUUCCCUCUGUGGAACCCCAUGGCCUUCACUGGCUGUGGCGGGGAAACAGGACUUUUACUUUGAAAAAAUUAGAGUGCUCCAGGCAGGCCCAUGCUCGAAUACAUUAGCAUGGAAUAAUAGAAUAGGACGUGUGGUUCUAUUUUGUUGGUUUCUAGGACCGCCGUAAUGAUUAAUAGGGACAGUCGGGGGCAUCAGUAUUCAAUUGUCAGAGGUGAAAUUCUUGGAUCUAUUGAAGACUAACUACUGCGAAAGCAUUUGCCAAGGAUGUUUUCAUUGAUAAGGAACGAAAGUUAGGGGAUCGAAGACGAUCAGAUACCGUCGUAGUCUUAACUAUAAACUAUGCCGACUAGGGAUCGGACGAUGUUAUUCUUUGACGCGUUCGGCACCUUUCGAGAAAUCAAAGUGCUUGGGCUCCAGGGGGAGUAUGGUCGCAAGGCUGAAACUUAAAGAAAUUGACGGAAGGGCACCACCAGGGGUGGAACCUGCGGCUUAAUUUGACUCAACACGGGGAAACUCACCAGGUCCAGACACAGUGAGGAUUGACAGAUUGAGAGCUCUUUCUUGAUUCUGUGGGUGGUGGUGCAUGGCCGUUCUUAGUUGGUGGAGUGAUUUGUCUGCUUAAUUGCGAUAACGAACGAGACCUUAACCUGCUAAAUAGCCCGUACUGCUUUGGCAGUUCGCCGGCUUCUUAGAGGGACUAUCGG
rnacentral:rRNA from 1 species